ACCUAUACGGUUCUCUGCCGUGUAUCAGUGCAUGGUAAGAAUCGAGUUCGACUCACAUCGUUGGUCGAAUAGAUUAUUUGGCUAGCCUCCACUCUGGUCGGGGGCUA
rnacentral:misc_RNA from 1 species